GAUGAACGCUGGCGGCGUGCCUAAUACAUGCAAGUCGAGCGAACAGACGAGAGUGCUUGCACUCUCUGACGUUAGCGGCGGACGGGUGAGUAACACGUGGGUAACCUACCUAUAAGACUGGGAUAACUUCGGGAAACCGGAGCUAAUACCGGAUAAUAUUUAGCUUCGCAUGAAGCAAUAGUGAAAGACGGUUCUGCUGUCACUUAUAGAUGGACCCGCGGUGUAUUAGCUAGUUGGUGAGGUAACGGCUCACCAAGGCAACGAUACAUAGCCGACCUGAGAGGGUGAUCGGCCACACUGGGACUGAGACACGGCCCAGACCCCUACGGGAGGCAGCAGUAGGGAAUCUUCCGCAAUGGACGAAAGUCUGACGGAGCAAUGCCGCGUGAGUGAAGAAGGUCUUCGGAUCGUAAAACUCUGUUGUAAGGGAAGAACAAGUACGUUAGUAACUGAACGUACCUUGACGGUACCUUACCAGAAAGCCACGGCUAACUACGUG
rnacentral:rRNA from 1 species